GAUUGUCCUUCAUGGUAACUGAAAAACCUUUCUCAAUUAAUUGUCCCACACUCAUCAGAUUGCUUCUGAUGUCAGGUACAUACCACACGUUCUGAAUCAAUGCUGUUUUCCCAUUGUUCAGAAUCACUCUGACAUUUCCCAUACCUUCUGCAUUAAGAUAUUUGUCAUCAGCACAUCUGAUCUUUGUCCUCUUUUCAGAGUCAAAGUCAAC
rnacentral:lncRNA from 1 species